AAACUUUAACUUUGGCCAUAAUUUUUAGCUCACCUGAGCCGAAGGCUCAAGUGAGCUUUUCUGAUCACAUUUUGUCCGUCGUCCGUCCGUCCGUCUGUCUGUCUGUCUGUCCCUCCGUCUGUAAACUUUUCACAUUUUUGACUUCUUCUCAAAAACCACUGGGCCAAUUUUGACCAAACUUGGUACAAAGCAUCCUUGGGUAAAGGGGAAUUUAAAUUGUAAAAAUGAAGGGCCAAGUCCCCUCACAAGGGGAGAUAAUCAAGAGAAGACAAAAAUAGGGUGGGGUCAUUAAAAAAUCUUCUUCUCAAGAACAACUGGGCCAGAAAAGCUGAAACUUAUGUGGAAACAUUUUAGGGUAGUGUAGAUUCUAAAUUGUUCAAAUCAUGACCCCCGGGGCAAGGGCGGGGCCAUAAUGGAUGAUCAAAGUUUUACAUAGGAAUACAUAGGAAAAAUCUUUAAAAAUCUUCUUCUCCAGAACCACUGGGCCAGGAAACAUGAAA